ensembl:ncRNA VK10D6R.2 ncRNA
UCUUUUUUUCUUCUUCUGCAGCUGGUUUUAUUGGAUGUCGAUGCAGUAGUAAGAAGAAAGGUAUUCCGAAGAGGAAUUGGAAAGAAAACGAAUAUGAAGAAGAUGAUGGAGAGGUAGAAAAUUGGUAUGAUAUUCGGAAGGA